rnacentral:rRNA from 1 species
AAUAGAUACCCCGGUAGUCCACGCCGUAAACGAUGAGUGCUAAGUGUUAGGGGGUUUCCGCCCCUUAGUGCUGCAGCUAACGCAUUAAGCACUCCGCCUGGGGAGUACGGUCGCAAGACUGAAACUCAAAGGAAUUGACGGGGGCCCGCACAAGCGGUGGAGCAUGUGGUUUAAUUCGAAGCAACGCGAAGAACCUUACCAGGUCUUGACAUCCCGCUGACCGGCCUAGAGAUAGGCUUUUCCCUUCGGGGACAGCGGUGACAGGUGGUGCAUGGUUGUCGUCAGCUCGUGUCGUGAGAUGUUGGGUUAAGUCCCGCAACGAGCGCAACCCUUGAUCUUAGUUGCCAGCAUUCAGUUGGGCACUCUAAGGUGACUGCCGGUGAUAAACCGGAGGAAGGUGGGGAUGACGUCGAAAUCAUCAUGCCCCUUAUGACCUGGGCUACACACGUGCUACAAUGGACGGUACAGAGAGUCGCAACCCCGCGAGGGUGAGCUAAUCCCAUAAAACCGUUCUCAGUUCGGAUUGUAGG